rnacentral:rRNA from 1 species
CCUGUAACCUGCCUGUAAGACUGGGAUAACUCCGGGAAACCGGGGCUAAUACCGGAUAACUCAUUUCCUCGCAUGAGGAAAUGUUGAAAGGUGGCUUUUAGCUAUCACUUACAGAUGGACCCGCGGCGCAUUAGCUAGUUGGUGAGGUAACGGCUCACCAAGGCGACGAUGCGUAGCCGACCUGAGAGGGUGAUCGGCCACACUGGGACUGAGACACGGCCCAGACUCCUACGGGAGGCAGCAGUGGUCAUAGCUGGUUUCCUACGC